rnacentral:rRNA from 1 species
GACGAACGCUGGCGGCGUGCCUAACACAUGUAAGUCGCACGGGACUGGAGGGCAACUUCCAGUUCAGUGGCAGACGGGUGCGUAACACGUGAGGAACCUGUCCGACGGCGGGGGAUAGCCGGCCCAACGGCCGGGUAAUACCGCAUACGAUCAUUUGGGGGCAUCCCUGAAUGAAGAAAGCAGCCGCAAGGUUGCGCCGAUGGAGGGUCUCGCGGCCUAUCAGCUAGUGGCGGGGUAAUGGCCCACCAAGGCGACGACGGGUAGCUGGUCUGAGAGGAUGGCCAGCCACAUUGGGACUGAGACACGGCCCAGACUCCUACGGGAGGCAGCAGUGGGGAAUCUUGCGCAAUGGCCGCAAGGCUGACGCAGCGACGCCGCGUGUGGGAUGACGGCCU